CACGCCCUAAACGAUGUCAACUGGUUGUUGGGGAUUCAUUUCCUUAGUAACGAAGCUAACGCGUGAAGUUGACCGCCUGGGGAGUACGGUCGCAAGAUUAAAACUCAAAUGAAUUGACGGGGACCCGCACAAGCGGUGGAUGAUGUGGAUUAAUUCGAUGCAACGCGAAAAACCUUACCUACCCUUGACAUGCCACUAACGAAGUAGAGAUACAUUAGGUGCUCGUAAGAGAAAGUGGACACAGGUGC
rnacentral:rRNA from 2 species